CGCACUCCUCCCCCCCCCGCCUGAGAGUUUGAUCCUGGCUCAGAGUGAACGCUGGCGGUAGGCCUAACACAUGCAAGUCGAACGGCAGCACAGGAGAGCUUGCUCUCUGGGUGGCGAGUGGCGGACGGGUGAGGAAUACAUCGGAAUCUACCUUGUCGUGGGGGAUAACGUAGGGAAACUUACGCUAAUACCGCAUACGACCUACGGGUGAAAGUGGGGGACCGCAAGGCCUCACGCGAUUAGAUGAGCCGAUGUCGGAUUAGCUAGUUGGCGGGGUAAAAGCCCACCAAGGCGACGAUCCGUAGCUGGUCUGAGAGGAUGAUCAGCCACACUGGAACUGAGACACGGUCCAGACUCCUACGGGAGGCAGCAGUGGGGAAUAUUGGACAAUGGGCGCAAGCCUGAUCCAGCCAUACCGCGUGGGUGAAGAAGGCCUUCGGGUUGUAAAGCCCUUUUGUUGGGAAAGAAAUCCUAUCGAUUAAUACUUGGUGGGGAUGACGUACCCAAGAAUUGAACCCGC
rnacentral:rRNA from 1 species